rnacentral:lncRNA from 1 species
CCAAGGGGCAGGAUUCUCUGCCUAUCCCAAGGGGCAGAAACCACCAGGAAAUUCUCCAGCACAGGUGAAGCUUCAAAUCAUGAGCCAUUCUAGCAGACUCUAGGACCUCAGUGAUGCUUCAAUGUCGGGAUCAGAUACUAAAUCACACCAUGAGGAGAGUAAGAUGCACCAGGCCUGGACUUGCCCUUGGGAGUAAACUUCAGCCACUUAAACCCGGCCAACGCUCUCUCAUCCCCUGGGACUCUUAACUGGAAGCGGCACAGUGGGACUUUAAAGAACUGCCAACGAUAUGAACAACUAUGACCGUGUUUGUGCAUGCCAGGCAAUUACAACUGCAUCAAGACAACCAUCUGGCCAACAGUGAUUUCACGAUGCCAGCAAUUGACCCAGAGAAAGUCCUUCAGCUACAUUCUCUGUAGGGAGUCUCCUGCCAGCGGGAUUAAUAUCUGAAGAUGAGAGGAACUGAGACCAG